rnacentral:rRNA from 1 species
GAUGGACGCUAGCGGCAGGCCUAAUACAUGCAAGUCGAACGGUGUCUUCGGACAUAGUGGCGCACGGGUGCGUAACACGUAUGCAACCUACCUUACAUUGGGGGAUAGCCUUUCGAAAGGGAGAUUUAUACCGCAUAAGACAGUAGCUGGGCAUCCAGCAGCUGUUAAAGAUUUAUCGAUGUAAGCUGGGCAUGCGUCCAAUUAGCUAGUUGGUGAGGUAACGGCUCACCAAGGCAAUGAUUGGUAGGGGAACUGAGAGGUCAAUCCCCCACACUGGCACUGAGAUACGGGCCAGACUCCUACGGGAGGCAGCAGUAGGGAAUAUUGGGCAAUGGACGCAAGUCUGACCCAGCCAUGCCGCGUGCAGGAUGAAGGCGUUAUGCGUUGUAAACUGCUUUUAUACAGGAAGAAACGACUCUUGCGAGAGGCAUUGACGGUACUGUAUGAAUAAGCACCGGCUAACUCCGUGCCAGCAGCCGCAGUAAGAC